GAUGCUCCUCUGGAGACUCCCAUCUAGGUUCAGAAGAAGCUGACUAUGGCAGCCUAUGUCCCUGGCAUCCCAGAGAUGAUCAGAAGUGAACCAGACUUUCUCGCUGGGAUCCCCGGGCCCACACCGGACUCUGUGCCUCCUGGAGCUCGGCCAAUGAUAUCUGAUGGGCAAAAAUGGCGCACAUUGAAGAUUACAACCUGGUGUUUCGAUGUAUGUCAAAACUGUGAGGUCAUCGUGAUCAGGUUCAUUAACAUCACUCCUGUCCCCACACAGACCCUGUGCUCUCCCAUUUUUGUAUACGAAGAAGACUGAAUGAACACUGACACUUGGUGAACAAUGCCUCGGGAACUAUGAGGGAGGCUCCAGGAAAGGCAGAGGGUGUUUUACCGCGGGUACAUUUUGUUCCCUGGAUUGUUCUUGGACAUGAUUUCGUGCCUCUCACAACAAACAUUAACAUCCAGUUUACAAGACAUGUUUACUCUUGUUGGAUGUCAGAUCAUAGCUAUAGAAGCCAACCUGGUGAAAGGGUGUGCUGGGUGCUGUCCUCAGGGCACCCUGAGUCUGGAUAUGGCUUUCUGCCUCGCUUUCCUGCUCUCCCAGACAUCAUCUACAGAGCGGGCCAGGCAACUGUUUAACUGAUCUAUCCUGAGAAAGUUCUGGGAAAGGACUGUUCUGCCUGUAUUUAGCAUGUGCUUCCUGGGGUUAUUUACAUGUUUUUCUGUAGCCAAGAAGAACCUUCUUGUAUCAUCGAUUUGUUUCAUUCAUGUAUAAAGCACACUGAAACUGAAGUACAGUUGUCUACAGCAUUAGACUGUAUCUGCCCCAUUUUUUCAGGUCCUCAGAUCCCAGGUCUCUCUGAUACAGAAUUGCAUAGGUCAAUGAAAGUCGAAAGAACACCUUUUUCUUAAAAAACCAGAACUUGAGCCCCUGGCUGAGGCAAGCGUUUCUUCCGAACCCUCCUCCACAUACCGUGAAC